GCGUUUAAAAUCCAAAAGCGAAGGUGAAAACCCUAAUUUUCCUAGAAUCCAAAUCUAAAUUUCUCUCACUCAUUGCGUCCGAUAACUAAAAUCUCAAACAAAACACCCUUGUCACUCGCGUUUCUAUCAAGCCAUGCUCCUCUUCCUCGGCCUCCAACUUUUUGCUCAGAGGCUGCUCCGCCAGGAGGGCCUCUCCAAGACGUCCCUUCGCGUCGCCGUGGUCAAGCUCCUCCUCGAUGGCCGGUGAGACAGCCAUGGAUUCCGAGCUCAAGAUCUUCGUGGAUGGUCGGCAGUGUUCGUUCUCUUCUACGGAAAGCAGAGUCAAGUGUGGUCUCAUCCAGAGAGAACGUGGCAAGCUUUCCCCGUCUGAUCUCUAAGCAUCUCUACUCUUGAACAACUCAAGAACUCUGCAUCUGACAAGAAAAAGCUGUGAAAAUGGGAGCCCCAAAGCAUAAGUGGACACUGAAAGAAGAAGAAGCUCUUGUGGCUGGAGUACUCAAACAUAGAAAUGGAAAAUGGCUUUACAUACUCGCACGACUCUGAGUACUACCUCUCUCCUGACCCCAACCCCAACCCCAACUUCCACACUUCCCAUACCCCUAGCAGCCACAUCCACACCUCGUUUUUUUUGCUGAUAACCACAUCCACAAACCCCCUGUGCACAAAUCCCAAACAACCACAUCCAUAGACGCUCUGUCCGCAAUACCCGAACAAGACGCACAUAGUGAUCUCAGCUGUCUUGAUCAAGUUACUUUUUAGGUGCUGAUUAACAAUCUCUUUUACCUCAUGCUCAAUUUUGUAAUGUAUGUACUAAAACUUUCUUUUGUAGCCUCAACCGGCUUUUGUUAGGCGCAACCAAUUCUUAGACGCUAGUGUACAAUUUUUUACUUGUCUUUUGUAAUCAGCCUAAUUAUGUGUUCAAAUCCACUCACAAGACACUUUGUUCAUCA